rnacentral:lncRNA from 1 species
AACACUAGGUCUCCUGGCUGGAACGAAUGGCAGGACUUUGGUCAGGAAUUGGAUUGGGAUGGGCUCCUGGAACAAGUGGCAGGAUAAUAUCUUGUACCUGUUGGAGAGACUAUAGGUACUGUAAUAAAUUAGUUUGUGAUAUUUCUGCUAAUUUGGCAUCUCUUAGCUUAGGCAAGAUAGGCGGUGCCCUAUUAUACAUAAUUUCAAAAGGUGAGAAAUUAGCCUGGUAAGAGGUGCACCUUAAUUUAAGUAGGGCUAAAGGAAGGAGACUUACUUAAUUUACACUGUUUUUUUAAGAUUAAUUUUAUAAGAGUGUUUUUUAGGGUGUGGUUCAUGCGUUCUACUUGCCUGGAGCUCUGGGGUUGAUAGGCACAAUGGAGCUUCUGUUGAAUGUUUAACGCCUUACUGACUGACUGAGCUAUAGGCGAGGUGAAGGCUGCUCUAUUAUCAGACUUUAUGGCAGCAGGCAGCCUAUAUUGAGGGAUGAUUUCAUUGAGUAAAAACUUAACUACUAUGUUGGUGGUUUCGUUUUCGGUAGCAAAUGCCUUAGUCUAUCUGGAGAAGGUGUCUACUAGUACUAGAAGAAACUCCUGGAGGGCAGAGGCAUGCCUGCCAUCUUCAUCAUUGCAUUACCACCACCCAACACUAUCGGGGGACCUGCCCUGAUAAUCAGUCUACAGGUGUAUCCAGCAGCUCCAGAGAGACAGCGACCAGCGAGAAGGGGCCAUGAUGAUGGUGGUGGUUUUGUCAAAACGAAAAGGGGGAUAUGUAGGGAAAAGAAAGAGAGAUCAGACUGUUACUGUGUCUACAUAGAAAGGGAAGCCAUAAGAGACUCCAUUUUGAAA